AAAAGUUAUGAGGUAUAAUACAACGCAAGGUGACGAAAAUAAUGUCAAGUAAAUACGCGUUAUCAAAGAUUACUCAAAAAGUAGUUAUCAGAUCUCUAUAAAAUUUAUAUGUGACCACAUGAUAAACAUCAGCUUUCGAUUACAGUAAAAAUUAUCAAAAUCGAUCCACCCAGUAAAAAGUUAUUGCGGAUUUUCAAGAGUUUCCCUCGAUUUCUCUGGGAUCCCAUCAUCAGAUCCUGGUUUCCUUAUCAUGGUACCAAACUAGGGAUAUCCCCUUACCCAACAAUAAAAGAAUUAUCAAAAUCGUACAUCCAGUAGAAAGUUAUGCGGUAUAAUACAACGUAGGUCGACGAAAAAAGCGUCAAGUAAAAACGCAUUAUUAGAUAUAACUCGAAAAGUAGUUGUUAGAUCUUAAAUAAAUUUAAAUGGGACCAAUUGGCACACACCACCUUUCGAUUAAAACAAAAUUUGUCGAAAUC
rnacentral:misc_RNA from 1 species